rnacentral:rRNA from 1 species
UACGAAGGGGGCUAGCGUUGCUCGGAAUCACUGGGCGUAAAGCGCACGUAGGCGGCUUUUUAAGUCAGGGGUGAAAUCCUGGAGCUCAACUCCAGAACUGCCCUUGAUACUGAGAGGCUUGAGUCCGGGAGAGGUGAGUGGAACUGCGAGUGUAGAGGUGAAAUUCGUAGAUAUUCGCAAGAACACCAGUGGCGAAGGCGGCUCACUGGCCCGGUACUGACGCUGAGGUGCGAAAGCGUGGGGAGCAAACAGG